ensembl:snoRNA small nucleolar RNA SNORD19
GAGAAAUGAGGAUACACACUUUUGUCUUACUUCUGUAGUGAAGACUUCAGAUCCAACUCUGAUCUCACACUGAGG